rnacentral:rRNA from 1 species
AGUGAACGCUGGCGGUAGGCCUAACACAUGCAAGUCGAACGGCAGCACAGUAAGAGCUUGCUCUUACGGGUGGCGAGUGGCGGACGGGUGAGGAAUACAUCGGAAUCUACUUUUUCGUGGGGGAUAACGUAGGGAAACUUACGCUAAUACCGCAUACGACCUACGGGUGAAAGCAGGGGAUCUUCGGACCUUGUGCGAUUGAAUGAGCCGAUGUCGGAUUAGCUAGUUGGCGGGGUAAAGGCCCACCAAGGCGACGAUCCGUAGCUGGUCUGAGGGGAUGAACAGACACACUGGAACUGAGACACGGUCGAGACUCCUGCGGGAGGCAGCAGUGGGGAAUAUUGGGCAAAGGACGCAAGCCUGAUCCAGCCAUACCGCGUGGGUGAAGAAGGACUUCUGGUUGUAAAGCCCUUUUGUUGGGAAAGAAGAGCAGCAGGUUAAUACCCCACUGUUCUGACGGUACCCAAAGAAUAAGCACCGGCUAACUUCGUG